rnacentral:rRNA from 1 species
UUAAUUGAAGAGUUUGAUCAUGGCUCAGAUUGAACGCUGGCGGCAGGCCUAACACAUGCAAGUCGAGCGGCAGCACAGAGGAACUUGUUCCUUGGGUGGCGAGCGGCGGACGGGUGAGUAAUGCCUGGGAAAUUGCCCGGUAGAGGGGGAUAACCAUUGGAAACG